CAAGUCGAACGGUAACAGAAAGUGCUUGCACUUUGCUGACGAGUGGCGGACGGGUGAGUAAUGCUUGGGAACUUGCCUUUGCGAGGGGGAUAACCAUUGGAAACGAUGGCUAAUACCGCAUAAUGUUUUCGAACCAAAGUGGGCUUAGGCUCACGCGCAGAGAGAGGCCCAAGUGAGAUUAGCUAGUUGGUAAGGUAAAGGCUUACCAAGGCGACGAUCUCUAGCUGUUCUGAGAGGAAGAUCAGCCACACUGGGACUGAGACACGGCCCAGACUCCUACGGGAGGCAGCAGUGGGGAAUAUUGCACAAUGGGGGGAACCCUGAUGCAGCCAUGCCGCGUGUGUGAAGAAGGCCUUCGGGUUGUAAAGCACUUUCAGUGGUGAGGAAAAGUUAGUAGUUAAUACCUGCUAGCCGUGACGUUAACCACAGAAGAAGCACCGGCUAACUCCGUGCCAGCAGCCGCGGUAAUACGGAGGGUGCGAGCGUUAAUCGGAAUUACUGGGCGUAAAGCGCACGCAGGCGGUUUGUUAAGCUAGAUGUGAAAGCCCCGCGCUUAACGUGGGAUGGUCAUUUAGAACUGGCAGACUAGAGUCUUGGAGAGGGGAGUGGAAUUUCUGGUGUAGCGGUGAAAUGCGUAGAGAUCAGAAGGAACAUCAAUGGCGAAGGCAGCUCUCUGGCCAAAGACUGACGCUCAUGUGCGAAAGUGUGGGUAGCGAACAGGAUUAGAUACCCUGGUAGUCCACACCGUAAACGCUGUCUACUAGCUGUAUGUGUAUUUAAUACGUGUGUAGCGAAGCUAACGCGCUAAGUAGACCGCCUGGGGAGUACGGUCGCAAGAUUAAAACUCAAUGAAUUGACGGGGGCCCGCACAAGCGGUGGAGCAUGUGGUUUAAUUCGAUGCAACGCGAAGAACCUUACCUACACUUGACAUUCAGCGAACUUAGCAGAGAUGCU
rnacentral:rRNA from 1 species